rnacentral:rRNA from 1 species
CCUACGGGAGGCAGCAGUGGGGGAUAUUGCACAAUGGGGGAAACCCUGAUGCAGCGAUGCCGCGUGAAUGAAGACGGCCUUCGGGUUGUAAAGUUCUGUCGCAGGGGACGAAAAUGACGGUACCCUGCAAGAAAGCUCCGGCUAACUACGUGCCAGCAGCCGCGGUAAUACGUAGGGAGCAAGCGUUGUCCGGAAUUACUGGGUGUAAAGGGAGCGUAGGCGGGAGGAUAAGUUGAAUGUGAAAUCUAUGGGCUCAACCCAUAGCUGCGUUCAAAACUGUUCUUCUUGAGUGAAGUAGAGGCAGGCGGAAUUCCUAGUGUAGCGGUGAAAUGCGUAGAUAUUAGGAGGAACACCAGUGGCGAAGGCGGCCUGCUGGGCUUUUACUGACGCUGAGGCUCGAAAGCGUGGGUAGCAAACAGGAUUAGAUACCCCAGUAGUC